rnacentral:rRNA from 1 species
UUUAAAAGUUUUUUUUUUUAAGUAUGAUCUGCUCAAUGUUCACAUAAAUAGCCGCAGAAUUUUUACUGUGCUAAGGUAGCAUAAUCAUUAGCUUCUUAAUUAGAGACUAGAAUGAAAGAUUUAACAUUUUAAUUACUUUUUUAAAUUAAAUUUUAAAAUUUAUAUUAAAUAUAAAAUAUAUUUAUAAAAAAAAAAGACAACAAGACCCUAUCGAACUUAACUGUAGUUUAGCUGGGGAAGCUAAUUAAAUAUUAUUUUAAUUUUUACUUUUAUUUAAAUGACCCAAUUAAAUUGAUUUUAUGAUCAAGUUACCGUAGGGAUAACAGCGUAAUAUAUUUUUAAAGCUCAUAUUAAAUAAUAAGUUUACGACCUCGAUGUUGAAUUAUUUCUCUGUAUAGCGCAAUAGCUAUAAAAGAAGGUCUGUUCGACCCUUAAAGUUUUACA